rnacentral:rRNA from 1 species
GACGAACGCUGGCGGCGUGCUUAACACAUGCAAGUCGAACGGAAAGGCCCUGCUUUUGUGGAGUGCUCGAGUGGCGAACGGGUGAGUAACACGUGAGUAACCUGCCCUUGACUUUGGGAUAACUUCAGGAAACUGGGGCUAAUACCGGAUAGGAGCUCCUGCUGCAUGGUGGGGGUUGGAAAGUUUCGGCGGUUGGGGAUGGACUCGCGGCUUAUCAGCUUGUUGGUGGGGUAGUGGCUUACCAAGGCUUUGACGGGUAGCCGGCCUGAGAGGGUGACCGGCCACAUUGGGACUGAGAUACGGCCCAGACUCCUACGGGAGGCAGCAGUGGGGAAUAUUGCACAAUGGACGGAAGCCUGAUGCAGCAACGCCGCGUGCGGGAUGAGGGCCUUCGGGUUGUAAACCGCUUUCGCCUGUGACGAAGCGUGAGUGACGGUAAUGGGUAAAGAAGCGCCGGCUAACUACGUG